rnacentral:ncRNA from 2 species
CAAAGGAAAUACGGGUGAAUGGCCGUGUAAUUCGGCCGGAGUGCCGCUACUGUAUACCCAGAACCCCGCCUUUG